CCUGGUAUCGAUAGAGACUUUUGUGCCGAGAAUGUGAGUUAAUUUAUCUUCGAGGUCGAGUAUGUGCGAGGGCUUUGAGCGGAUGGUUUUUUGUUUUUGACCGGUGUCGGUGAGAUAUUUUCUAACGAGGCGUUCUACUUCACGGACGCUGAGGCGGCCUACCAAUGCGCGAUUGGCGAGCUUUGCGCGGAGUUCAUCGGUCGGCAGGGCGAGGAUGGCACGGGCGUGGCCCAUAGUGAGCCGGCCAUCUAUGAGCAUUUGUCUUAUCUGCUGCGGCAAAUCGAGCAGUCGCAGGUAAUUGGUUACAACGGAGCGGUUCUCGCCGAGCUUCUCUGCGGCCUCGG
rnacentral:rRNA from 1 species